GGAUAAGAAGACAGGACUCCUGUAGAAGGGCAUGCUGCCUAGGCAGAGUUGGUCAGGAAGUCUUUCUGGAUUAAUGACAUUUGAGAUGAGCCAUUCUGGACUCAGAGAUUAGUGUUUGGGGCC